CCUACGGGAGGCAGCAGUAGGGAAUCUUUCACAAUGGGCGAAAGCCUGAUGGAGCAACGCCGCGUGCAGGAUGAAGGCCUUCGGGUUGUAAACUGCUUUUAUAAGCGAGAAAUAUGAUGGUAACUUAUGAAUAAGGAUCGGCUAACUACGUGCCAGCAGCCGCGGUCAUACGUAGGAUCCGAGCAUUAUCCGGAGUGACUGGGUGUAAAGAGUUGCGUAUGUGGCAUAAUAAGUAGCUAGUGAAAUCUGGUGGCUCAACCAUUCAGACUAUUAGCUAAACUGUUAAGCUCGAGACCGUUAGGGGUAACUGGAAUUUCUAGUGUAGGAGUGAAAUCCGUAGAUAUUAGAAGGAACACCAAUAGCGUAGGCAGGUUGCUGGGACGGUUCUGACACUAAGGCACGAAAGCGUAGGGAGCAAACGGGAUUAGAUACCCCUGUAGUC
rnacentral:rRNA from 1 species